AUGCCAGAGACACUAACCAAACAAAUGACUCCCAGUCGUAAAGCAUUUCCGCCUGACUAUCGCUGCAUUCUGUCAGAAGUGCUGAGCACAUCCAGAAUGUUCCCUUUCACUGCUUCUGUUAUGGACCUCACAGCCGGCCCCCGGAUACGGAAGUGGUUCGACCCGUCACAUCUUCAGAUUAAUAGCAGGGUUCCCUGUCCACUGCAGCUCAACGAGAGAGGGGCAAACCAAACUAUGGUGGACAGCUUUGUCAGGUGACAGAGAAGAUCUUUGGGAUUCCAGAGCAGUUCAACAUCUUAGAAGAUCUGAUUAGAAUGACCUUCUCAAGGUUGCAGACUCUGACCAAAUAAAUAAUAAAUAAUAAUAAUAAAAUAAAAUAAA
ensembl:lncRNA